CUUUGGGGCUGGCGCGUGAGGCGAAUCUUAACGCUGGGCCGUCUGCGGGCGCUUCCGGACCACCAGUUUCUCUGUCUUCCACCCUGGCGCCCCCCAGCCCUGGCUCCCCAGCUGCGCUGCCCCGGGCGUCCACGCCCUGCGGGCUUAGCGGGUUCAGCCGGCUCAAUCUGCGCGGUGCAUCCUCCAUGUUGACCAAGCCUCUGCAGGGGCCCCCCGCGCCCCCCGUGACCCCCACGCCGCCGCCAGGAGGCAAGGAUCGGGAAGCGUUCGAGGCCGAGUACCGACUCGGCCCCCUCCUGGGUAAGGGGGGCUUUGGCACCGUCUUCGCAGGACACCGCGUCACAGAUCGACUCCAGGUGGCCAUCAAAGUGAUUCCCCGGAAUCGUGUGCUGGCCUGGUCCCCCUUGUCAGACUCAGUCACAUGCCCACUCGAAGUGGCACUGCUAUGGAAAGUGGGUGCAGGUGGUGGGCACCCUGGCGUGAUCCGCCUGCUUGACUGGUUUGAGACACAAGAGGGCUUCAUGCUGGUCCUCCAGCGGCCUCUGCCCGCCCAGGAUCUCUUUGACUAUAUCACAGAGAAGGGCCCGCUGGGUGAAGGCUCAAGCCGCUGCUUCUUUGGCCAAGUAGUGGCUGCCAUCCAGCCCUGCCAUGCCCGUGGAGUUGUCCAUCGUGACAUCAAGGAUGAGAACAUCCUGAUAGACCUACGCCGUGGCUGUGCCAAACUCACUGAUUUUGGUUCUGGUGCCCUGCUUCAUGAUGAACCCUACACUGACUUUGAUGGGACAAGGGUGUACAGCCCCCCAGAGUGGAUCUCUCGACACCAGUACCAUGCACUCCCAGCCACUGUCUGGUCGCUUGGUAUCCUCCUCUAUGACAUGGUGUGUGGGGACAUUCCCUUCGAGAGGGACCAGGAAAUUCUGGAAGCUGAGCUUCACUUCACUGCCCAUGUCUUCCCAGACUGCUGUGCCCUAAUCCGCCGGUGCCUGGCCCCCAAACCUUCUUCCCGACCCUCACUGGAGGAGAUCCUGCUGGACCCCUGGAUGCAAACACCAGCCGAGGAUACACCCCUCAACCCCCCAAAAGGAGGGCCCACCCCUUUGGCCUGGUCCUUGCUACCCUAAGCCUGGCCUGGCCCCCAAUGGUGGGAAGAGCCAUCCCAUGGCCAUGUCACAGGGAUAGAUGGACAUUUGUUGACUUGGUUUUACAGGUCAUUACCGGUCAUUAAAGUCCAGUAUUACUGAGGUAAGGGAUUGAGGAUCAGGGGUUAGAAGACAUAAGCCAAGUCUGCCCAGUUCCCUUCCCAAUCCUACAAAGAAGAUUUCUUCCCAGAACCUGUGGUCCCUGAUUCUGGAGGGGGAACUUCUUGUUUCUAAUUUUGCUAACGACGUUUAUUUCGGGUGAAGUUGUUUCCAUUCUGAGCCCCGGGACUCAUUCUGAUGACGUGUCACCCCUACAUUGGCACCUCCUCCUACCAUCACACAAACUUCCUUCAUAUGCUCUUACUUGGGCAAGGGUGCUUUCCUUCCAAUACCCUAGUAACUUUUAUUUUAGCAAAGGGACCCCUUUCCCCUGGCCUAGGGUCCCAUAUUGGGUCAAGCUGCUUACCUGCCUCAGCCCAGGAUUCCUUAUUCUGGGGGAGGUAAUCCCUUGUUACUCCAAGGCUUUUUUUUUUUUUUUUUUUUUUUUUGGUGAGGGGAUCCUACUCUGUUAUCCAAAGUGCUCUUAUUCUGGUGAGAAGAACCUUACUUCCGAAUUUGGGAAGGAAUGGGAGAUGGACACCACCGGACCCCACCAGACACUAGGAUGGGAUGGAUGGUUUUUUGGGGGAUGGGCUAGGGGAAAUAAGGCUUGCUGUUUGUUCUCCUGGGGCGCCCCCUCCAACUUUAGCAGAUUUCUUGCAACAUUCUCCUGAGCCGGGAUUGUCCAAUUGCUAAAAUGUAAAUAAUCACGUAUUGUGGGGAGGGGAGUUCCAAGUGUGCCCUCCUCUCUUCUCCCCCUGCCUGGAUUAUUUAAAAAGCCAUGUGUGGAAACCCACUAUUUAAUAAAAGUAAUAGAAUCAGAAAAAAAAAAAA